GCGCCCGUAGCUCAAUGGAUAGAGCAAAUCGGUUCUAACGAUAAGGUUGUGGGUUCGACUCCCGCCGGGCGCG
rnacentral:tRNA from 1 species